rnacentral:piRNA from 1 species
UAGAUGAUGUUACUGAACCAACAUGUCA